rnacentral:rRNA from 1 species
AUGACCAUCUUCGACGACCUGCCCGAGUGGCUUGUCAUCGAUGAGAUCCUUGCCCGGUUGCCACCCAAAGAUGUGCUCCGCUGCCGUGCUGUCCGCAAGUCGUGGCACAACGGCACUUCCACCAAUGCGUUCAUCCUCGACCAUCACCGACGCCAGCCGUUGCUCCCCAUCAUUGAACAACGACGAAAGGGCUUCUGCCACAUUGCCGGAGCCUCUAAUGGUCAAAGGAUAUGGCCCAUCCUCCGGAGGAAGUACAAAACAAGCUAUUAUACACCGUGCCUGCGACUGCCUCCUCAUCCUGGGUGGCAAUCCAAUUUCUACAUCUGCAAUCCGACCACCCGCAAGUGUGCUUCCCUGCCACAUCCUCCACAACGACCAGGCGCCAGCGUCGUCGCCGUAGUCGCCUUCUACCGGCACCAUACAUCUAGAGAGUACCGGGUUCUCUGGGUGUCAUACUCCAGACCGAUCAGCUCUUGUGUCCUAGUACAGUCACGAGUACUUCGUCCUCACGGUGGGAUCAAAUCAGCCAAGAUGCAUCCAGUGUCCGACAGUUUCACAACACACGCUUCAUGUCACCCAGUCCCCCUAUUGUCCACCAGUCCACCAUCGUGGUAG